UACGUAGGGGGCGAGCGUUGUCCGGAGUUACUGGGCGUAAAGCGCACGCAGGCGGUCUGUUAAGUUUGAAGUGACAGUCUCCGGCUCAACCGGGGAAGGCCUUUGAAAACUGGCAGACUUGAGGGCUUCAGAGGGACACGGAAUUCCGGGUGUAGUGGUGAAAUGCGUAGAUAUCCGGAGGAACACCGAAGGCGUAGGCAGUGUCCUGGGAAGUCUCUGACGCUCAUGUGCGAAAGCCAGGGGAGCGAACGGG
rnacentral:rRNA from 1 species